rnacentral:rRNA from 1 species
UUUUAAUGAGAGUUUGAUCCUGGCUCAGGACGAACGCUGGCGGCGUGCCUAAUACAUGCAAGUAGAACGCUGAAGGAGGAGUUUGCUUCUCUGGAUGAGUUG